GACAGAGGGUGCAAACGUUGUUCGGUGUCACUGGGCUUAGAGGGUACGUAGGCGGCUUAGUUAGUGAGAGGUGAAAGCUCCGGGCUCAACUCGGAAAUUGCCUUUCAAACGGCUAGGCUUGAGGAUCAGAGGGGCAAGCGGAACGUCACGUGUAGCGGUGAAAUGCGUUGAUAUGUGACGGAACGCCAAAGGCGAAGGCAGCUUGCUGGCUGAUAUCUGACGCUGAGGUACGAAAGCGUGGGGAGCAAACGGG
rnacentral:rRNA from 1 species